CAGUAGCCGCGGGAAAACGAAGGGUGCAAGCGUUACUCGGAAUCACUGGGCGUAAAGCGUGCGUAGGUGGUGGUUUAAGUCCGUUGUGAAAGCCCUGGGCUCAACCUGGGAAUUGCAGUGGAUACUGGGUCACUAGAGUGUGGUAGAGGAUAGUGGAAUUUCCGGUGUAGCAGUGAAAUGCGUAGAGAUCGGAAGGAACAUCUGUGGCGAAGGCGACUAUCUGGGCCAACACUGACACUGAGGCACGAAAGCGUGGGGAGCAAACAGGAUUAGAUACCCCUGUAGUCCCUGUCUCUUAUAC
rnacentral:rRNA from 1 species